rnacentral:lncRNA from 1 species
AUAAUGCUUUUUCGCGUAGGUGUUGUCAGCAAUUUCGGCUUCUGAAAGUCUCUUUCACACAAUUAAUUGCCUGUUUGUUUCACAUUUUCAGUCAUUCCAACAUCCGGCGAUGAGUCUGUGUCAAGCUCCUUUCCGCAGGCUUCACAAGUCAGUGAGCACGCAGGCGCCGACCUUCUGCUGAAAGCUGCAGCCCAUGUCGCAGCAUCCUCAACCAGCGCAGGCAUUCUGAGCAGAGCUGACUCACAAGCUGUAACAUCUGAAAACAGAGCUACCCCGACUGUUUCCUACGCUUCUGAACGUUUGGAAGGAGCAUGUCAUAGUUCAGGGCAACCAAAGAAAAUGGACCCUGAAACUUCCAC